GGGCCCGCACAAGCGGUGGAGUAUGUGGUUUAAUUCGAUGCAACGCGAAGAACCUUACCAGGGCUUGACAUCCUGCGAACCUCUGUGAAAGCGGAGGGUGCCUUCGGGAACGCAGUGACAGGUGGUGCAUGGCUGUCGUCAGCUCGUGUCGUGAGAUGUUGGGUUAAGUCCCGCAACGAGCGCAACCCACGUCUUUAGUUGCCAGCAUUUAGUUGGGCACUCUAGAGAGACCGCCGGUGAUAAACCGGAGGAAGGUGUGGAUGACGUCAAGUCAUCAUGCCCCUUACAUCCUGGGCUACACACGUGCUACAAUGGGCGGUACAGAGGGCAGCGAAGUCGCGAGGCCAAGCAAAUCCCUUAAAACCGUUCGUAGUCCGGAUUGGAGUCUGCAACUCGACUCCAUGAAGUCGGAAUCGCUAGUAAUCG
rnacentral:rRNA from 1 species